rnacentral:lncRNA from 1 species
GUCCUGGUGUGCCCCCCAAAAGAUCCUCCCAGUAGUGCAGCACCUGCUCCCAGGGAUGGAGUUUUGGGACCGAGGGCUGCUCCGUGUUUCGGGACACCCGGAGGGGACCGUGGCUCUUCCCCCUCGCCACUCACGGGAGAUAAAAGAGGGAAAACCUUGGGAAAACGCCAGCUCUGAGCUGCCCCGCGCUCCAGGAGCUCGCUGGGGAGGUCAAAGCCGUACUCUCUGCUACUGAAAAGCACAACAAAAUCCCUCCCUGCCUCCCAUCCCCGCGGCUGGAAAACCUGGAUUUCCCAGGGAUUCUGGGGAUGGUGAGGAGGGGACUCCCCCACCCUGACCUCAUCAGCUCCUGGCAAUUAACAGCCGCUAAUGAACGAGCGGGGUGAGGCAGCAGAGGCCGGAGCGUUCCCAGGGACAGCCUGGACACCUCUGGUGCCACCCAAGGAGCUUCUCCAGGUGCAGAGAGGCUUUUCCUGAGGAACCGGGGAACGCGUCACCUUGUCCCGAGCGCCUCUUUUGGUGGCUCCAGAGACGGAAACUCCCCCGAAAAGGCCCGAGGGGGGGGAGGAAGAGAGCGGGAGGAGGGUUGGAAGCCAAACUUUUCUUUGGGCCUUUGUCUGAGCCCACAAAGGCGGCUCUGUUGGAUGAACCUGGCCGAGCACCCACCUGCAGCCAGGUGAGCUGUGGGGGCAGCCGGGCUGCAGCUCCUGCUCAGCCUCCCCGGGCGAGUCCCCUGCUGGCCCUAAAAGUCAGAUUUUUCAGAGCAGCUGCGGGGCAGGGUGAGGCUGCACCCCGAGGUCGGAGUCACUCCCGAGCCUCUCCUGCUCCGGGUGAUGCCCCAGUUCACCUUCGCCUGUUUCUGUGGCCUCCACGGCUUCUGCAAGAUGAAGAGGAAGAAGGAACAGGCCAGCGGGGGGCAGGAGACGGCCGUGUGAGGAUCAGCCCCCGCCCGGGACCCCUCCUGUCCCCUCGAUUCUCCAUUUAUCCUGCAAAUUCUCUCCCGCAUCCCGCGGAUUCUCUCCUCAUUUCCCGUCCCUCCCUGUCCCCAGGACGGCCGGGGAAGAGCCGAAGUGUCCCUGCCCACGAUGUCCCUGCCCGUCCCGCUGGGAGCGAGAAUUCCCUCCCUGCUCCAGCAAUUCCCAGCAGAGAAACCGGGAAAAUCUCCAAAAUCCUGGCCAAGCCUUGUCGUUGCCAGAAUCCAGAGCUGGGCAGCGCCUCUGGCACGGCAAGGUCUGUCCCUGCCUCCUUCCCUCUCCCCGGCACAAUCCUGGAUGCUUCCAGAAACUCGGGAUGCGCUCCGGGAAUUCCUUCGGAUCUUCCUCUUCUCCCCUCCAGAAGCACCCGGACCUGAGCGCUGCUGGAGCAGAUAAAUCCCGCUGAUGGCAGUGGGAAUCAGGUGUCUAUCCAAGGAAAAUUCCAAGGAUUUUCCGUCCUCUGGAGCGGGAGGCGAGCGGUGAAGCCGAAGCUGGAGCCGUGUCCUGGCUGCUCCCGGAUUUCCUUUGGGAAGGGAUGCAGGAACGCAGCUCGUCCUCCCCAUCCCGGAUCCAGCUGGAAUUCCUGCAAAUCCCCCCCAAAAAAAAAUGCUGCGGAUUCCCAGGGUUCACGGGAAGAGCCUCCACCUCCUCAGGAAAGCAGAGCCGCGCUCCCCAAAGAGGAAUUUAUUCCCACCAGCAAUAAUCCCAUCCACCAAGGGAAGGAUCCACUGCCCUGCUCACAUUCCCACCGGGAAUUUGGGGUGGGAACUCUCCAGGCAGGGCAAUUCCUGCAUACAAGACUUAAAAAAUUAAAGCAAAAAAAACCAUUUUAAAUAUUUUUCCCCCCUCAGAAAUCACCUGGUGGAAGCUGUCCCUUCUCCCUGCCGAGGGGAGGAUUCUCUUCCAGGUAUUCCCAGUCUUCCCACAAGACAAAAUUAAUUCGUGGCUGUCCCAAAACUCGGCGUUUUCCAAAGGUUUUCCAGAGGAUGAAACAAUUCCAGAUCAGUUGAUUUGGGAAAAUGCUGAAUUUCCAUUUCAUUUCCCAUUUUUGCACCUCAGCCUCCUCGGUUCCACCUUUGGCGAGGAACUUUGGGAUCAGCUCUGGACCAAAAAAUCCAAGGAAAUUGGUGGAACUCCAAGGGAAUUUCCUGAAUUUCCCCAAUUCCACCUUUGGCAAGGAACAUUGGGAUCAGCUUUGAGCCAAAAAUAAAAAAUCCAAGGAAGUCGGGAAUUUCCUGGGA